rnacentral:rRNA from 1 species
GAAACUGCGAAUGGCUCAUUAAAUCAGUUAUAGUUUAUUUGAUGGAUAAAGAAUAUGGAUAACCGUAGUAAAGCUAGAGCUAAUACAUGCAUGAAAUCCCGUUAAAAGGAUGCAUUUAUUAGAUAACGCCGAUAUGGUGAAUCAUAAUAACUUAGCGAAUCGCUGGUUUCCAGCGAUAUAUCAUUCAAGUAUCUGCCCUAUCAGCCUGAUGGUAGUGUAUUGGACUACCAUAGCACUAACGGGUAACGGAGAAUAAGGGUUCGAUUCCGGAGAGGGAGCCUGAAAAAUAGCUACCACAUCUAAGGAAGGCAGCAGGCGCGUAAAUUACCCAAUCCUAAUUCAGGGAGGUGGUGACAAGAAAUAUCG